AUUGAACGCUGGCGGCAGGCCUAACACAUGCAAGUCGAGCGGAGCGGGGGACGGGUGAGUAAUGCCUAGGAAUCGGACUGGUCGUGGGGGAUAACGACCGGAAACGGGCGCUAAUACCGCAUACUCUCAGAUGAGCCUAGGCCGGAUUGGCUAGUUGGUGGGGUAAAGGCCCACCAAGGCGAAGAUCCUUAGCUGGUCUGAGAGGAUGAUCAGUCACACUGGAACUGAGACACGGUCCAGACUCCUACGGGAGGCAGCAGUGGGGAAUAUUGGACAAUGGGCGAAAGCCUGAUCCAGCCAUGCCGCGUGUGUGAAGAAGGUCUUCGGGUUGUAAAGUACUUUAAGUUGGGAGGCGUUACCAACAGAAGAAGCACCGGCUAACUUCGUGCCAGCAGCCGCGGUAAUUC
rnacentral:rRNA from 1 species